rnacentral:rRNA from 1 species
UCAAAUCAUCAUGCCCCUUAUGACCUGGGCGUACAAACGUGAUACAAUGGCUGAACAAAGGGCAGCGAAGCAGUGGAUGUGGAGCGAAACCCAAAAAAGCAGUCUCAGUUCGGAUUGAAGUCUGCAACUCGACUUCAUGAAGUCGGAAUCGCUAGUAAUCGCGGAUCAGAACGCCGCGGUGAAUACGUUCUCGGGUUU